CCCGAGUCCAUCAAGGCGCGUUCCUCGGUACAGUACUCCAGCAGGGCUUAUAUAGGCAACCCAAACCCAGCCAAAGCAAACCUCCCCAAACCCAACACUUCCAGCAUGUCCAAAAUGGGAGACAGGCGCCUGAGUAACCCGGGGCAAGGUAUAGUGCCGUCACGCUUUAACUUUUGUUCGGUGGGGCUGGCUCAAUCGCUGUGAAGAUCACGUUCUCCGCGAGCGCAGGUUCCGCGGGGCCCGGCUCUGCGCUCCAGCCUUCGGAGGCCGGGCAGCGCCUUCUGGCCCCUCCAGCACACUGGUCUUCGGGGCGGAUUUCUCCAACUCGGUAGCUUUGGGGGAGCGGGGCCCAGGUCCACACCGUCCUAGGCGCACAUGUAAAUGUAAAAGAAUAUUUGUUUAGGGUGCGGAGCCCCCCAAAAGAAUGCCCAGACAUCUUUGAAAUUGGUAGAGGAAAGAAAAGAAACGACUGCGUUUCUCAUGCCUAGUGAUGCGGUCUGGGCAAGGGGGUGGGGGUGGUGGAGAAGGACGCCAGGAAAUCGUCCUUGGUGAUUUUUAACCCACGAGGAAGGGGAUGCCUGCAAAGGUCCAGGGAGGGUCCCUGCCUUUUACUGAGUGUGCGUGGUUUUGUUUUGUGUUUUAAAGAUCCACACGGAGCUUGAGGUCUAGCUUUUUUUUUUUUCCCAACCAAAGCCCCAAAAGCAUUUUCCACUAUGGACUGGGGAGACUGAGUCAUGUCUGCAGGGCCUCAAAUCAAUCCCUGUGAACUGCAUGAGACGAAGUCCAGGUUUCCUCCAGUAGCGCUGUCCAAGUUCAUAUUUGUGAACCGCCAUGACGAGUUCAUUUGACAGGUGUCCUGGGAGGUGAAAGGGUCACCUGAGGAGAUUGUAAUUCUUUUAGAGAAAAGUCUUAGAAACAUGAAUACGGGUUCUGACAGAGGAGUUUACACGGUCCGAGGUCUUUCGCCUUAGCCGGGGAGCAGGAGCUUUGGGGAGGGAGACUGUGGAUGUCUUAGCAGUUCGAAGACUGACCUUUUUUUCACGGAGUCAUUGCUGCAGACCCCAAAGAUCUGGACGUUCAAGUCCUUGGGAGAGCGGGAUGCAGUGCGUUAACCACCGUUUGCCCAAACUGCUCAGUUGUUAAGCAAAAGAUAGCUGACGCCCUCUCCUUGCGGGAUGGGACUUCUCGUGGGUUGCCUUAACGAUGACCGAUUAUUGAAGCCACUGUCCGCCUUCAGGGGCAAGGGGCAUCCUAUCAGGCCACGCCGUGGGUCCCUCCACGGUCGGCAUCAGUAGCACCCAGGGUGCGGGCGCUGGCGGGGAGUGAGCGCUCCCGGAGGCCCCGCAGCAGGUGAGUAGCCCGCCCUUAGGAGGCCGGAGGGGGCGCCCCAGGGAGCCCAUCCCAGCCCGGAGCAGGGAGGGACGUCGGGUGUCCCCAGAGAGGGCUUUGGAACCUCUAAAGCGCGGCUUUGGUUUUUCCCGUCUCGGGCUACUGGGCAGGCACCCUGGAAGUCUCCCCUCGAGGAUUUAGCCCCCACUUUCCCCCAGACCGAGGCGCCGCCCUCCAGCCCGAAAUUCGUUCCUCUUGCCCUUGGCCUUCGGCCGGCGCUGCCGAGCCGGGUCCCAGGCCCGAGCCGCCGCCGGAACCCGAUCUCGCUCCCGCACCGCACAGGUGUCGGCUGGAGCUGGCGUUAUGUAAUGGAUUUGGCAGCCCCGGCUCUUACCAAACGGAAUUAAAGAGGGUGGGGUUUUCUCUUUUCUUUCCUUUUCCUUUCUCUGUUGACUACAUCUGGUGUCAGGUGUACUUGAUCCGCCGCUGCAGGUGUUUUUUGCAGGAAAAAACCAAGCUGAAUGGCGGCCCAGUCAAAGUGCUCCUGGAGAGGGGCCCGAGGCAGGCCUGGGGCCCUGGGACGAGCCUCCAGCGUCCCCUCCCCGAGCCGCUCACCUGAGGUCGCCGCCGCAGCCGCAGGUGGCCUGAAGUCCAGGGGCGAGGGGCGCGGAGGGGGUUGCCCUUGCUCACCCUCUGUUUUCUGGCCAAAGUCCCUCUGGUAGAAACUGUGGGCUUCCACUCCAUGACUAUUUGCCUUUUAUUAACCUACCGAUCUCCCUGCGAGUGUGGCUGAGUGUGAGUUAGGACGCAACAUCAGGAGAUUCGAGGUAAAGUACCUUCUCCGGAGACAGGGAGCCCCGCCUUCGUCUUGGCAGCUUUACCUGAGAGCCGCCUCGGCGGGCUCAGGUCUCUAACCCUCAACCCGAGAGCCAGUUCGGGACCCUUUCUAAGAUGCGAGACCACGGGACUCUUGCCCAAUUAGAAUUUUUUAAACAUUUCAUCAAUUUUGGUAAACAAUAGAAGGGGAUUUCAAAUACUGUCAGCCUCCAUUUUGUUAGGCAGAAACGAAAGAAAAUGUAGGAGUAGUGGCAUCUGUCUCUCCAAACCUUCAGUUUACUUGUGGACACCAAAUAGUUGCCUUCUUGGAAUUCGACGCCAAGGGCUGGUUUGAACCUUUAGAGAUCUAAGGAAGGGUUUGAGCCUUAAAAAGCCGACAGCUCUAUUUUGGGGAGUGGGCUUAAAUUUGAAUAAUAAAAUAGGGGAUAAUGUUUAAGCGACGACUCGGAGGCUAAAUGUGAAUCUCUGCAUUUCGUCCCGAAAGGACUAAUUCAGAUCAUUAAAGGUGACGUGAAGGGUAAAAGCAAAGGCUGGGAGAGUUAUGACAGUAACUGUGAAGACAGUGGCCAAGGGCUGGGUGUCCAAGUAGUUAUUUACAGGAGAGUUGGGCGUAGAUACUACCUUCUUAAUUUGGACUGAUGAAUUCAGCGGCAAACUCACACUUAUAAAGACUUGAGUUACAACUACACAAAUGAAAACGUGUCUCUCUCUCUCUCUGGAGUAGCUCCAUUUACAGAGGUAAAGCUGCCAGGUAAAGCUAGCAGACCCAUUACACUGAUAGUUAUGUGACCCCAAAGUGCCCCAGUACCUCUCUGUUAAUUGUAGCACAACCCCAGCAAUGACUACCUAUAGAUGAGAUUUUUUAAAAUCUUAUAAAAGAUACGCAGGGGGAAUUUUUUAAGCAAAGUUUAAACUAGCCCCAUUAAAUAUGUCAUGGCCAAAACUAUUUAGCAGUGAAUUAUUGCUUUCCGAGGUGCUGUGGAAGCCACUGAUGGUUACCACAAGAGCUCUCAGCAAAAAGAGUCAGGAAGCAGCACCCCUACCCCCCUUUUUUGAAACACACAUAAGUUUCUUCCUGAAUCCCAUUUGCUGGAUCUCCUCUGCCAGCUGAAGAUCCUGUAGUGAGCUGGGUAGGGACCAGCCCUGACAUGCAGCCGUCUGUUCCCGGGUGGAACUUGGAGAUCUAACUAUGUUUUCAUGCCAAAAGGACAAAAUGAUUUUGCCCAGAGUCAGGUUGUGUUUUCAAGUUACCUUUCCUGUCUAAUCAUGUCGUGCCUAAAAGACUGAUAAACUUAGAGCAGACUCCUCAGUGUGGUCACCACGGAACCAGUGUCCGUGUGGGGGUUUUCCUUGAGUCCUCAAAAAGGUUCCCAAACCUUAGAAAGGGGCAGACCGAACAUCACUGGGGUAUCAGUGCUACUCGGUGUCUAAUUCAAGCUUUGGGGGCAUUUUGCUAGUAAGGAAGACAAAAUCUCCGAGGUUGUAGAUGAUUUAACAGGGGAAAAAAGGAAUGUAGUUUAUAAAGCUGACUGUUUGAAAUACAAAGAAGAAAAGUGUUGCAAACUGCAAAGCCCUAUUUAAAUAUAAUCCAAAGUUUCUUUUGUCCUCCUCUACCUAUCAGAUAAUCAAUUACUUUCUUUUACAUUAACUGUUCUGUCCUCAAAGCUGUACCGUGUUGAGCUCCCUACCCCCUCUCUGGAGAAGCCAAUCCUGAGGCCUCAUUAGAAGCAAACACUGGCUGAUAAUUUCAAAGAAAGAGGCAAAUUCUCUAAAAAAUAAGCAGAGCAGUUUAAUUUAUUAAGCAAUUGUUAAAUAAUGAAAAAAUGAGUGCCCUCUCCACCAUGCCUUUGUGCGAUAGCCUGAACGUUGCCCUUAUACAAAUACCCAUUUCAAAACGUGUGGCUAUCCACGGAGACUGUACUGUCAGCCUCAGAAACCGAGCUUCACAUCGCGGGGAUGUGCGAGGACUGGGGUGCCCAAGUGCCCGGAGUGUGUGCUCCUGAUACAGCGGCCCACGGGGCAGGCUGGGUUGGAUUCCACGUGAUUCCUACUUCCUCUCCUGUCACUGCUUUCCAAAAGAAUUUUUAAAACUUCACUUCGGAUUAGUAAAACAUGGUCCUCAUUUAAUAGACUGCGCACUGGCUCGUUUUCUUAAAGGGAAAUAUAUUUAUUUGCCCUACAACGAACAUAAUUUUCAAAGAACAACUUCGUUUGUUUCAUUUUCCUCCAAAACUAGGGUGGGCACAAACUAGCAACAUUUUAUCAUCCUUAUUCUGGAACAAGAUUUGGCAAGUAAACGGGUUCUAAAACAUGCCAAAUGUUCAACAAUUUAAUGUUCAGAGAUUUUUUAUGCCACAGGACAGAUCUAUAACUCUAUAGCAAUAAUAAUCCCUUGACUAAAUAUACAAAUGCAUUGUUCACCAAACCAUGCAGUGAUUUCAAUGGAGUGGGAGAAGGAGGAUGGUUACCGUGACAUCACUGCUAUUAUUUAAAUUAAACUGCUAUGGGAGAAUAUAAUUGUUAAUAAAAGCCUUCUUCUUCCCGCCCCUCAAGCUUUCCCCUCCCCCUCUGGCAUUUUGUGACGUGCCAUCCACGAUAAAUGUAAGCAGAAUUAUUUUGUCGAUCCUGGUAGCCUGCUGUAUAACGUAUAACUAUAAUGUCGCAUCUACAGGUCAGCAAGGAAAUGCGGAGGAAAAAUUACCACAUUUAAGGGAUGGCUGUUUGAGAAAAUACACAGGGCGUUUGAGUUCAGAGCGUUGGUGUUCAAACUUUUUCUCCUUAUAAAUGUGUGUGUGUACACAGAGAGUUAUCUAUAAACACUUGUGCGCACCCUCUGUGGUAUCCCCGUGUUUGUCCAUUAAAAGCUGCCAUGUAAUCAUUCCAUGGGGCUGGCUUAAUGCAUUUAACAGAGAACUAAUGGGUCGUCUUAUGUUGAAAAGCAUGCUCCUAUUUUUAAUCCCGUCACGUAAUGAUUCGGUUUUCUACCAGUCUGAGGCUUCCACCUUUAUCCCUCGUGGAUGCUCCUGUCCCAGAAAACCAUUUCAACCACUUUUAGUUCCUGACCAUUGCUAAAAAUGCCCCCCGUCUUUCUCUGCAACUACACUUUAUUUUUUUUAGCCUAUUUUUGUAGUUAAUAAUAAUAAUAAUAAUAAUAAACAAUCCUUGCUGUAUAGAAAUUCAGUUGAAAUGAUCCGGUGAGCUCCCGCCUUGAUCCUUGCUUCGAACUGUAAUCUCGAAUACUAGAUAUGAUCGAACUUGGUCGUGGGCUCCAAGCUGCAGGAGACCGAAGCUACUUUUUCGUGCCAGGAUUUCACCUUCUUUCUAGCCUGGAGCGUGCGCGCUGCACACACACACACGCGCACACACACACACACGCCUCUGUAAAAACAAGCUGAGGGGGUGCCCCAAAUGUGAACAGAGAUGCGGGGCUGAGGCUGAGCCCGGGCUGUGGAUGAGCCGCGAGUGAGCGGCGCCCGCGCCGGGGGCUACGGCUAAGGUGGGCGCCGGCGGCCAGGGCGAGGACGCGCUAGGGCUGCGCGGGCUUCCAGCUCUUGUGUGAGACGCAGGCGAGGAUGGCCAGGCGCCCGGGAAUGAAAGCAAAGUUCCGUGGAGCUUGGAGCCCCUAGACAGCCACCCGUGUCCGGGCGGAGAAGAGCCCUCCGCGGUCCGAGCUCGAGCGUGGAGCGGCCUCCGGCGCUCGGGCUGCCCGGGUGGAAGCCCGCGAAGGGGGUCCCGCGGCGCUUUUGUACAGCCCCGCCUUGGCCAGCCGCGAUCUGACGCACCGGCUCCCCUGGGACGCUGGGGGCGUCGCACUGCAGCUGGGUGGGGAGCAAUUUAUUCCUCGCCGUCCCAUCCCAGCCCAUCUUCGGUUACUCCACCCUACCCCUCCCAUGCCUCCACCUCCUCCUCUUCCUCCUCCUCCUCCUCUACCUACGCCUUCACUACCUCUGAUUCUCCACCUCCUCUUCAUCCUCCAUCCCCCUUCUACUUCUCUCUCCCCCCUCUCUCCUCCCUCCCGCCUCCCUGCCCUCUCCCUCUCCCCUCCCUCUCUCCUCUGAAUAAGCAAGCUUUUGCCUCUAAAAGUCACAAGUAAUCCUCGUGUGUGACACAGAGAGAGAGAGAGAAAGGGAGAGAGAGAGGCGAGCCUGCCGAGGGGAGCGGCAGGCAGGAAGGGAAAUCUGGCACAACGGCUGGGAGAGGAAACUUGACGCUUCUGGGCCACCAUUUGCCAGGGCCUCGCUCGAGAUGAGACUACAAAGAAGCAUAAAAUGAAUAGACAGUUCAACCAGCCAAAGACCGGGGGCAGCAGCACGCCAGCAAGACGGCAUCUUCUCCUCCCCAGCCUAGAAGCCCUGUGAAAUCGAGGAUCUUCCCCCUAAAACACACACACACAAGAUAUGUGCAAUCAAGCUGCCACCGCUUGGUAAAAAGCUCAUGGUGCCUAACCCAAAAGGAUCGGGAGCAGAUCCUUGAAUCAGCUGUCACUUCUUCUAUAGAAUGGGAUGGUUUUUUUCCUUCCUCCUUACCCUGCGCUGGAAAUUGCCGUUGGCUUUAUACGUCUCUAUAGAGGGAGGCUAAAGAGUCUUGCGUGAGAAUGAAGCAAUUUACAAUGCAAAUAGAGGCCUGUGAAGGGACGGAUGCUGCUGCUCACUCGUAACCGCUUGCUGCACCUUAAUAGCUGGUUUUAUUUUCUGAUAUUAAUAGAUGAAUUGUUGGCUAACGCUGCCGGAGAUUACUUGCUGAAAGGAAAAAAAAAAAGUUCGGAAUAAACUUUGAAAGCAACAGAUCUCGUUUGGAUGUUUAGCCGCACACACAGACAGAAACCAGGUCAUAUUUACAUACAAGGAGGAAUCUUAUGCGCGGCGAGUAUCCUGGAGGACUACCCUUCUGUGCUGUCGGAAAGAUCGGGACCUGGAGUCUGAUCAAAGGAAGACAGAGGCGCGUGAGGGAAGCGAGUUGUUAUCUUUGGUUAUCUAGCUGUAUGAGUGUAUUGGUCUUCAUAAAGCUAGAUAACCGAAAGUAAAAACUCCUUCAAGAUCGCCGGGGAGCGUGUGAGAAUGAGAGACUACAACCGAGAGACAGUAAAAACCAGAAAGGUCAGGAAUACUUAUUGAAUCUAACUUUGUUUUUGUUUUUUUGCCUUUUGAUUAAAGGUGGGGUUAGAGGAAAUUAAGUGACGCAUAUGCCAAAAUAUAAAGGUGCCAGGUACUUGGAGAGGGGUUGUUACAGCUGCAAAGGAGAAUUGUAUGGUGCUAAUGAGGAAAGAGGCUUGCGCAGUUUGUCUUGCUUUAAGGCAAAAGUUUGUAUAUGAGGUUGGUUUUUUUCUUAGACAGCUGUUGUAGAGAUGUCUGGUACCUAGUUUAAAAAUGAUUUGGUAAUAUGUGGACUUAGGCUCUUCCCUUCUGAGGCCCCUCCCCUGAAAAAUUUGAAAGAUGAUGCUUGGAAACUACAUGUAUUUGGGUUGUAUGUCAAAUUAUAUGAAAUUAGACUUUCAGAAAAUUUAUACUGGAAGGUUAAUCAUUUGUAUCUACUGAGGACAUAGAGCUAGAAGGGAAAAUGCAAAAAAAGAAAAAAAAAGCAAAGGCUGAUUUUUAUUCUUCUAUUCAAAAUACAAGGACAGAUGCUUCUCUGUUCCAAGAGGGUUUCCUUGAGGAAGCUACUGAAGCAGAAAGACAUGAUGGAGACGAGAUCGCCUCCCCUCUUGUCAAAGUGUUAAAAAAAUGUUCUGUCUUACUCUGCGCCUAGCAUUGGAAAUGAAAGUGACAUUUACGCCACAACCCACGUGUGCGCCUCCUCUCUUUUUGUUUAAGGAUGAUCAGGUCUAUCCAGGAAACAGCUCUGGCAUCCCAAACUGAAAUAAUUAGGACGUAUAUAGACCUGACAAAAAUGGAAAGGGGGUGGGGAAUCUGAGGGUCUGUCUUGCCUAAUUGAUUCCGCUAAACGGAAUGCAGGAGAUGUGAACGGCAGGACGCUCCGAUUCCCACGCUCGGGGGCAAGUGGUAAAGCGGGCCCGGCAGCCUAUGACAGACAGCCCUGUUGGGGGGUGGGGGUAUGAAAAAAACAUCGAGUGCACACACCAUACUCAUCUCCAUCGCUUAAGAAAGUAGAGGCAUUUCCCACCCACAGCCAUCUGCAGCCUCCCAAAUGGCAGCACCAACUGGUCUGUAGCUGCUGCAUACUGUCUGAUUCUGUUAAUUUUAUAACCGCUGUUUAAUCUGGCCAUAAUUAAGUUUGGCUUUCUUCUUUGCUUGAGAUUUUCAAUAUUUAAGGAAAGCUAGUAGAAAGCAGUUCCAAGCAAGUCCCAUGACUGCCUGCCCCUCAUGUCAAAUUGCCAGUCCGCACUUUUGGCCUUCCACCUUUUGGCUUUUGUUUUGGGGAAGGGGGUUCUAUUUAAAAUACUUAUCUCUUCUGUAAUAGACAUUAUUAUCACUUCAUCAGGCUCUUUACCUCUGAACAUGAUAUAUCCAGGAAGUUGGCCUAAUUCUGCUAGUAGACAUACACUGGAAGUAAAACUAUAAAAUCAUCAACCUAUAGAAAGGUGACCACAAUAACAGUGUGAUGAAAGGUUGUUUUAGUAUAGUCCCAGCUAGAUGUGUUCUAAACAGCCAUUUUUAUUUAAUCUAAAAUGACUAUGCUUAGCAGAAACUUUGGGAGGUCCCCAUGGUAAUCUUUUCAUGAAAGUCCUUUCAUUUUUCCACGUGUCACCAAGCAAACAUUUGUAUAGGCAUUUAAAAAUAAACACAAACACAAACACUGUAAUAAGAAAAUGCCCAAAAUGGCCUGUUAUCUUCCACGUGACCUAGAUUACUGACAAUCCCAAAUCCCAAAUACACAACUUUUCUUCAAAAGCAUUACAUUUCCUUUGUAGCUGCAACUCCUUAUAAGAGUUCAGACUGGAGAAGCCUGAAAAACCACUGUUAAUUUCAGUUAGAAACUGAGAGACUUUAUGAACGUAAAUUCUCAAUUUGGCCGCUGAACACGUGCCAAAGUUUUAACUACUGUAGUGACCGUUGAGAAGACCCUUGUUUAUUUACAUUUGAAGCACUGUUUGUGCAAACAACCUUUCAUUGUUAAGUGCCUGUAUUCCUUUCAUUUACUUCAUGUCCAGGGGUGCUAUUUACCUAGAACCAUUGUCUACUACAAUUAACAUUUACAUUACAAAGUGUGUGGUUUUCUUUCUCAAGGAGGUUCAAUUAAGGCAAUAAGAUGUUUGCUGGGGAAACCUAUUGUUUACUGAAAGCACUCAAUGGAGUCAAAUUACUGAAGCUUUUGCCUACAUCUUGGUCUUUUAUGUAAAUGUGUUAAAUAUAACAUCUAAGGAAAAUAAACAAUAUUAUAAUUACGUGUUUGCCAUUGUCAUAUCAAACUUGCUUUGUAUCAUACUAAUGUUACAUGACUUAUCGAUCAAUAAAAAUACAUUUCAAUGUUAUUAUUUUCAUUUUAUUUUUUGCUGUUCCACUGCUCUUGCUGCAACAUGUUCCAAUUUUUCUUUUUUCUAUUACACAUCAAACUUAUGACAUUUUGUUUUAUUUGUGUGUGUUGAAGAGAGGUACUGUAUCCAAGCAUGGGUCUGAAGGGUGUCUGAGGACAUCUCUACAGUGACCUUAUAAUAAGGUGAUAUUUCUUUGAAAUCUGAAAUAUUCCAAAGGCAUGUACAUUUAAGUCAAAAGAAGUGUAAAUAUCAGUUAAGUAGUUCUUUGAAAGCUAGUUUUAACAUUGGCAGAAACCGGAUCAAGUUUAUUUAGCAUACCACUGCAUUGUAAAACAGUUGGAGUGAAGUUGCAGGUUGCGUGAGUAUGCAUGUUAACUAGUGGGAACCAAGCGCAGUCUUUGUGAAAGGGGAGCAGCAGAUUGCUGUGCAAGGCCAAUGUUAAAAAGGCAGCUGAAUUUAACACCAUCUGGAAGAAAAGAUCCCUUCACGACUUUCUCACACCGUCAGACAAAACUAGUGUCUCUUGUUCCGAGCCCUUGUCUAUGCAACCAUACAAUACUGAGUCAUUAUACUUUUGCUGAGAGAAAAUUUGAGAACACAAUAUGGGUAACCAGUGAAUGACCAAGUUUCAUUGUGCCCGCUUAAGUCGAUUGAAAUCUACGUCUAGAGCUCUGAAUGGUAGUAUUGUUUUCCUCACCAGGGCUGUACUAAAUGUCAGCACAGUGUAAAGAAAAACUUGAAGUCUGCAAAUAACUUACCAGAUCUCAAUUAUAAUAUUUUCCCACACUAGAACUAAUAUCAUUGCGAGGGGCUACACUGCAGAAAAUACCAAAAGAAACGAAAAGAAAUAGAGAGUUCAUUUAGAAGUUAUUUUAUCCAGACAAACAUUUUAAUUUUCUGAUGGGAACUUCAAUUCAGGCUGCAGGCUGGGUUGAGAAGUAGAAUUCAUUACUGGGAAGUUCAAGUUACAAAAAUGCUUCUUGUGCAAUUAAAAUAGAAUAAAGCAAACCACUAGUCCCACCUGAAACUCUCUCUUCUUAAAUAUAAAGAGACUCUAGUUGAAUUUUAUUGCUUUAGUUCUGCUUAGAAUUAUUAGUGUGCAUCUAGCUUAAAUUUUGCUUUAAAUUUUGCCAGACACUGCUCUUUCAAAGUUUGCCCCUAUGAUUGACAUUGCAAAAGAACAUCAUAGUGUACAUUUCCAAAAAUAUACAAGGUUUGGCUCCUCCCUAGGUGGGUUCUGGUGCCUUCAGGAAUACACCUCCCUGUAUAUUACACCCCUUUCCC
rnacentral:lncRNA from 1 species